AGCUUUGCGACGUGGCAGUAUCACAGCCAAUGAGGUUUAUCUGAGGUGUGAUUAUUGCCGUAUGAAAACUUUUCUCAGAAAUGGGUGGUUGGAUUUCCCAACAUUUUGAGGAUUUCCCCAGGU
ensembl:snRNA U4 U4 spliceosomal RNA